CAAUCAAGCAAGCAAUGGUAUUUUUUGAGCGUUUACCGCGUGCGGAGCACUGGACUGAGCGCUCGGGGGAGGGUGCAACGCCACCGGGUGUGUCGGCCGGCAGGCUCCCAGCCCUCCACUGCCCUCCUUCCCUCGGUCCUUGGACGCUACGACUGUCACAAUAACAACAACAAUAACAACGCCAAUAAGAACCACCCCGACCCCCCCCCCCGACCCCCAGGGCCACCCCCACGACUCCUAAGGGUGGUGGCGGCUCUGGGUGCGGGAUCUGCCGACCGCCUGGGCGCCCCGACUCCCGCACCGGACCGGUUCUCGCACACAGGACCGGCUCUCGCACACAGGACCGGCUCCCGCACACAGGACCGACUCCCGCACACAGGACCGGUUCUCGCCCGCAGGACCGGCUCCCGCGCAGGAUCGGUUCUCGCACCCAGGACCGGCUCCCGCACACCGGACCGGCUCCCGCCCAGAGGACCUGCUCUCGCACACCGGACCGAGCCCGGGACCCAACCCCGCUCUCUCCCGUCCAGGACCGACUCCCGCACCCAGGACCUGCUCUCGCACACAGGACCGGCUCCCGGACCGUGCCCGGGACCCAACCCCGCUCUCGCCGUCCGUCUGGGUCUGGAUCUAUGUCUGUGUCUGCCCGGGUGCGUGCGUGUGUGUGUGUGUGUGCGGGCGUGUGCGGGGUCCGUUCUCUGGAGGAGGGUGAGAUGUUGCCCUUCUGCAGCACGGGCCGGACGGGGCCGGGGGGGGGGGGGGGGGGAGGGGGUCGGGGCCGGGGCCGGGGGAGGGGCCUGGGGCUGGGGGUGGGGCCGAGGCCGGACCUGGGGGAGGGGUUGGGGGUGGGGCCGUGACCCAGACCUUAAUAAUAAUAAUAAUAAAGUUGGUAUUUAAUAAUGAUAAUAAUGUUGGUAUUUGUUAAGCGCUUACUACGUGCAGAGCACUGUUCUCAGCGCUGGGGUAGACACAGGGGAAUCAGGUCGUCCCACGUGGGGCUCACAGUCUUUAAUCCCCAUUUUACAGAUGAGGGAACUGAGGCACAGAGAAGUUAAGUGUUAAGCGCUUACUAUGUGCAGAGCACUGUUCUAAGCGUGGCUCAGUGGAAAGAGCCCGGGCUGGGGCGUCAGA
rnacentral:lncRNA from 1 species